GUGUCAGCAGCCGCGGUAAUACGAAGGGGGCUAGCGUUGCUCGGAAUCACUGGGCGUAAAGCGCACGUAGGCGGAUUUCUAAGUCAGGGGUGAAAUCCCGGAGCUCAACUCCGGAACUGCCUCUGAUACUGGAGAUCUCGAGUCCGGGAGAGGUGAGUGGAACUGCGAGUGUAGAGGUGAAAUUCGUAGAUAUUCGCAAGAACACCAGUGGCGAAGGCGGCUCACUGGCCCGGUACUGACGCUGAGGUGCGAAAGCGUGGGGAGCAAACAGGAUUAGAUACCCUAGUAGUCC
rnacentral:rRNA from 1 species